AAGUCGUAACAAGGUCUCCGUUGGUGAACCAGCGGAGGGAUCAUUACUGAGUCACGUGCUCAAACAACCCUUCUGUGGACCUGAAAUAAAACCGUUGCCUCGGCGGGCGGUCCCCCCAACCAAACCCCACGUGGUGGGUUAGGGGACCAGACAGUCCGGCACGCUUAAGGCGUCCGGCGCCAGCCGCUGGCCCCAAACAAUUAAACUCUAGUAACCUUUACCUUCUGAGUUUCAAUAUUUAAAAAUAAGUCAAAACUUUCAACAACGGAUCUCUUGGCUCUG
rnacentral:misc_RNA from 1 species